rnacentral:rRNA from 1 species
GACGAACCGUGCGAACGUUGUUCGGAAUCACUGGGCUUAAAGGGCGCGUAGGCGGGUUACCAAGUCAUGGGUGAAAUCUUUCGGCUCAACCGGAAAAGUGCCCCUGAUACUGGUAGUCUUGAGGGAGGUAGGGGCAUGUGGAACUUCCGGUGGAGCGGUGAAAUGCGUAGAUAUCGGAAGGAACGCCGGUGGCGAAAGCGACGUGCUGGUCCUCUUCUGACGCUGAGGCGCGAAAGCCAGGGGAGCGAACGGG